rnacentral:rRNA from 1 species
GUGGCGUUGCCCAGACAACUAGGAUGUUGGCUUAGAAGCAGCCAUCAUUUAAAGAGUGCGUAAUAGCUCACUAGUCGAGUGACACUGCGCCGAAAAUGUACCGGGGCUAAACAUAUUACCGAAGCUGUGGAUUGUCCUUUGGACAAUGGUAGGAGAGCGUUCUAAGGGCGUCGAAGCAUGAUCGCAAGGACAUGUGGAGCGCUUAGAAGUGAGAAUGCCGGUGUGAGUAGCGAAAGACGGGUGAGAAUCCCGUCCACCGAUUGACUAAGGUUUCCAGAGGAAGGCUCGUCCGCUCUGGGUUAGUCGGGUCCUAAGCUGAGGCCGACAGGCGUAGGCGAUGGAUAACAGGUUGAUAUUCCUGUACCACCUAGUAUCGUUUUAAUCGAUGGGGGGACGCAGUAGGAUAGGCGAAGCGUGCUGUUGGAGUGCACGUCCAAGCAGUAAGGCUGAGUGUUAGGCAAAUCCGGCACUCAUAAGGCUGAGCUGUGAUGGGGAGAGGAAAUUGUUUCCUCGAGUCGUUGAUUUCACACUGCCGAGAAAAGCCUCUAGAUAGAUAACAGGUGCCCGUACCGCAAACCGACACAGGUAGUCAAGAUGAGAAUUCUAAGGUGAGCGAGCGAACUCUCGUUAAGGAACUCGGCAAAAUGACCCCGUAACUUCGGGAGAAGGGGUGCUCUUUAGGGUUCACGCCCAGAAGAGCCGCAGUGAAUAGGCCCAAGCGACUGUUUAUCAAAAACACAGGUCUCUGCUAAACCGUAAGGUGAUGUAUAGGGGCUGACGCCUGCCCGGUGCUGGAAGGUUAAGAGGAGUGGUUAGCUUCUGCGAAGCUACGAAUCGAAGCCCCAGUAAACGGCGGCCGUAACUAUAACGGUCCUAAGGUAGCGAAAUUCCUUGUCGGGUAAGUUCCGACCCGCACGAAAGGCGUAACGAUUUGGGCACUGUCUCAACGAGAGACUCGGUGAAAUCAUAGUACCUGUGAAGAUGCAGGUUACCCGCGACAGGACGGAAAGACCCCGUGGAGCUUUACUGUAGCCUGAUAUUGAAAUUCGGCACAGCUUGUACAGGAUAGGUAGGAGCCUUUGAAACGUGAGCGCUAGCUUACGUGGAGGCGUUGGUGGGAUACUACCCUAGCUGUGUUGGCUUUCUAACCCGCACCACUUAUCGUGGUGGGAGACAGUGUCAGGCGGGCAGUUUGACUGGGGCGGUCGCCUCCUAAAAGGUAACGGAGGCGCUCAAAGGUUCCCUCAGAAUGGUUGGAAAUCAUUCAUAGAGUGUAAAGGCAUAAGGGAGCUUGACUGCGAGACCUACAAGUCGAGCAGGGUCGAAAGACGGACUUAGUGAUCCGGUGGUUCCGCAUGGAAGGGCCAUCGCUCAACGGAUAAAAGCUACCCCGGGGAUAACAGGCUUAUCUCCCCCAAGAGUUCACAUCGACGGGGAGGUUUGGCACCUCGAUGUCGGCUCAUCGCAUCCUGGGGCUGUAGUCGGUCCCAAGGGUUGGGCUGUUCGCCCAUUAAAGCGGUACGCUAGCUGGGUUCAGAACGUCGUGAGACAGUUCGGUCCCUAUCCGUCGUGGGCGUAGGAAAUUUGAGAGGAGCUGUCCUUAGUACGAGAGGACCGGGAUGGACAUACCUCUGGUGUACCAGUUGUCGUGCCAACGGCAUAGCUGGGUAGCUAUGUAUGGACGGGAUAAGUGCUGAAAGCAUCUAAGCAUGAAGCCCCCCUCAAGAUGAGAUUUCCCAACUUCGGUUAUAAGAUCCCUCGAAGAUGACGAGGUUAAUAGGUUCGAGGUGGAAGCGUGGUGACACGUGGAGCUGACGAAUACUAAUCGAUCGAAGACUUAAUCAAUUUUUAAA